rnacentral:rRNA from 1 species
GAUGAACGCUGGCGGCGUGCCCAAUACAUGCAAGUCGAGCGAACAGACGAGGAGCUUGCUCCUCUGACGUUAGCGGCGGACGGGUGAGUAACACGUGGAUAACCUACCUAUAAGACUGGGAUAACUUCGGGAAACCGGAGCUAAUACCGGAUAAUAUAUUGAACCGCAUGGUUCAAUAGUGAAAGACGGUUUUGCUGUCACUUAUAGAUGGAUCCGCGCCGCAUUAGCUAGUUGGUAAGGUAACGGCUUACCAAGGCAACGAUGCGUAGCCGACCUGAGAGGGUGAUCGGCCACACUGGAACUGAGACACGGUCCAGACUCCUACGGGAGGCAGCAGUAGGGAAUCUUCCGCAAUGGGCGAAAGCCUGACGGAGCAACGCCGCGUGAGUGAUGAAGGUCUUCGGAUCGUAAAACUCUGUUAUUAGGGAAGAACAAAUGUGUAAGUAACUAUGCACGUCUUGACGGUACCUAAGCAGAAAGCCACGGCUAACUACGG